AACCAUGAAAAAGUGAUAGCUGGCGAGACUUAUUUACUGACAUUCUUUAUUGAUACAUGCUAAUCAGCGCGAUGCGACGGCGCGCGUGGAUCGGCGUAUGGUAUAAUACAGCGAGGACGUGCCUUUUCGUCCGGGCAACGUCUGCGCCUUAUUUAUUCAUAAAUUGGCGCUUCAUUAGGCCGCUUAGCAGACCAUAUAGAUGCUCUUAAAGCUGUUGCGUCCACAGCGCCGGGUCUCUUUGCGGAGGGAAACGGAGGCGCCAUCGCAGUAAGAGCCGGUGUACAGCGUGGCAGUCUGGCCCUCGGUAAACACGAAGUGGUAGCCUCCAUGGUAUCCGCUGAUGUCGAAGCACCCACAGCCGUUGACGUCCUUGGUUCUCCCGGCGCAUCCGGGGCCAGAGAAGGCGGUCAGGGUGCUGGCCGACGCCGGCAAAACGGUGGCAGCUGCGACGAGCAGCAGGAGAACGGCAGCUGCCGCAGCCUUGGUAGUGGUGGCCAUAGCUUCUUGGCGAGAGGAGGGGGCAGUAUCCGGCUGCGGGAUUGGCGAAGGAAUGGAUG
rnacentral:lncRNA from 1 species